rnacentral:rRNA from 1 species
UACGUAGGGACCUAGCGUUGUCCGGAAUCAUUGGGCGUAAAGCGCGCGUAGGCGGCCCGGUAAGUCCGUUGUAAAAGUCGAAGGCUCAACCUUCGAAAGCCGAUGGAUACUGCCGGGCUAGAGUCCGGAAGAGGCGAGUAGAAUUCCUGGUGUAGCGGUGGAAUGCGCAGAUAUCAGGAGGAAUACCCAUAGCGAAGGCAGCUCGCUGGGACGGUACUGACGCUGAGGCGCGAAAGCGUGGGGAGCGAACAGGAUUAGAUACCCUGGUAGUCCACGCCGUAAACGAUGGGCACUAGGUGUGGGAGGUGUCGACUCCUCCCGUGCCGACGCUAACGCAUUAAGUGCCCCGCCUGGGGAGUACGGCCGCAAGGCUAAA